AUUGAACGCUGGCGGCAGGCUUAACACAUGCAAGUCGAGCGGGGUGAUGGUGCUUGCACUAUCACUUAGCGGCGGACGGGUGAGUAAUGCUUAGGAAUCUGCCUAUUAGUGGGGGACAACAUCUCGAAAGGGAUGCUAAUACCGCAUACGUCCUACGGGAGAAAGCAGGGGAUCACUUGUGACCUUGCGCUAAUAGAUGAGCCUAAGUCGGAUUAGCUAGUUGGUGGGGUAAAGGCCUACCAAGGCGACGAUCUGUAGCGGGUCUGAGAGGAUGAUCCGCCACACUGGGACUGAGACACGGCCCAGAUUCCUACGGGGGGCAGCAGUGGGGAAUAUUGGACAAUGGGGGGAACCCUGAUCCAGCCAUGCCGCGUGUGUGAAGAAGGCCUUAUGGUUGUAAAGCACUUUAAGCGAGGAGGAGGCUCUUUUGGUUAAUACCCAAGAUGAGUGGACGUUACUCGCAGAAUAGCACCGGCUAACUCUGUGCCAGCAGCCGCCGUAA
rnacentral:rRNA from 1 species